UGGAGAUCCCUGCUUACCUGAGGCCUUCUGAAGGCACACAACUGUGAAGCAUAUAGCAUGUAGUGAGCGCAUCCUGAUCCUUCUCGAUGCAAGCUGAAGAAAGACCCGUGCGUGCUAUACUUCAAAUCUGAAGUGUCCUUCAGUCCUUCACAUUCUACAGAUUGGUUGGCAGAUAUCAGACCCUCAUGGGGGAUCUUCUGAAAAAUACUGGCUCAGAUACACCCAUCCUGUAUCCUGGUUGCUUGCACAAACACAAGGAAACAGCUUGCAGACAAAGAAGAAACCAGGAACCUGUCAGUCUCACUGGUGUGGUUUAUUCAUUACUAAGGUUGCUUUGGGCAGGAACAGCAUGUCAUGCUGCUGGCAGGAUAUUCAUUGGAGAGGAGAGAUGGGCUCCAGGAACUGUACUUGUUCAUCUCACCCAGUCACUGUUUGAUCCUAAAUACUAAAAGAGCCAAGUCUGUAUGGGUGAGCCUGAAGAAGCCUGCAGCCUGCUGGUCUGCUCAGCACAUGAAUCUGGUUGCACUGAGGGUAUGACAAGGGGAAGACACAACCACAUCAAAACAGAGAUGCUUUUGGACAGUUAGGGAAGCAGCCUUUAAGAGCACAUGAGAAGCAGAGGUAUUUACUGUGUGCUGCAGGGGGAACUGACUGAGAGAAUUUUGUGAAUAAUCAAUACAAGGCUCACUUGCUUUGUACCUGUACGACAUUUGUGGCUUAGUUAUAAUCUAGUUGUGCCUUUUGUAGAAGCUAAGAGAAAGUGCAAAUAGAUGACAUAAUUUAGAAGGCAUUUUAAUCAAAUUAUUCCUUAGAAGCAUUUGUAGAGUGAUGCCUUACCUUGUACUCACCACAGUAGUAUCCAAUUACUCAGUGAAAUUAUCAGUGGUAGUUUACCCUUAAAUAUCCUUUUCCCAAGAUAACUAGAUCCCAAGGAACACAAUUAUUAUCCUGAAAUACUACGUCCUCUUUCACAACUCCUACACACACUUUGCUGGAACUGCUAUGAAUUACUCUUGGGCUAUCUUCAAGAAGCAAACCUUGUCAACUCUGCUCGGAUCUGUGACAACUCACAGCAACUAGCUGCAAUAAUUUCUGAGCGCUUCCUCUUCCCAGGUCUGUGCCAAGCUACAAAAUCACGCAGUCCUUCUGCACCGUAAUUGACACUGACAGCAAUUAAAACUGAGAAGUUCUUCUCAUAAUCUUUUGCUCCAGAAAGGGCAGUGACCUUGCUGAAAGGCAGUCAAUACUGUCAGAGUUGGACACAUCCCUCUGGUCACUCCUCUGCUGCAGUCCAUCAGUCCUUCAGUGGCUCAGUUCCCU